GCUAAGUUUGCUCAGUUGGUAGAGUAGCUGAUUCGUAAUCUGCAGAUCGGGGGUUCAAGUUCCCUAUUUAGCUCCA
rnacentral:tRNA from 1 species